rnacentral:rRNA from 1 species
GAUGAACGCUGGCGGCGUGCCUAAUACAUGCAAGUCGAGCGAACAGAUGAGGAGCUUGCUCCUCUGACGUUAGCGGCGGACGGGUGAGUAACACGUGGAUAACCUACCUAUAAGACUGGGAUAACUUCGGGAAACCGGAGCUAAUACCGGAUAAUAUAUUGAACCGCAUGGUUCAAUAGUGAAAGACGGUUUUGCUGUCACUUAUAGAUGGAUCCGCGCCGCAUUAGCUAGUUGGUAAGGUAACGGCUUACCAAGGCAACGAUGCGUAGCCGACCUGAGAGGGUGAUCGGCCACACUGGAACUGAGACACGGUCCAGACUCCUACGGGAGGCAGCAGUAGGGAAUCUUCCGCAAUGGGCGAAAGCCUGACGGAGCAACGCCGCGUGAGUGAUGAAGGUCUUCGGAUCGUAAAACUCUGUUAUUAGGGAAGAACAAAUGUGUAAGUAACUAUGCACGUCUUGACGGUACCUAAGCAGAAAGCCACGGCUAACUACGU